UAAGACCAAUCGGGUGUUUCGUUUAUUUAUACUUGGGUGUUCGUUGUUUAAUGAAAAAAUGGAUAGUAUGUGAAAGUGCUGAACUGGGCCUUCUUUCUUGGAGUAUUUCAAAAUCGAACUCCGUCAAGAACAAAAUCAGAAGUAUCAGUGUUACUGUUUCGUUAACUUCGUACGAGUAUAUUCGAAAAAAGGAAAAAUGUUGCUUCGGGGAUUGCCAUGGAUGGCGGUUUCCGCUUCCGCACCAUUUCCAUUGCAUUUUUUCACUCCCAUCUCAAAACAACUCACCUUUUCCCCUUUAUCCUUCUGCUCCACCUCCGACCUCCAUCUCACUCAACAACCACAAAUACCGAUUAUGAAACGGAUAAUCGUCAUUCGCAGCUUUUGAAGCCCGGUCUUUAUCUCGUAGGAACACCAAUUGGAAAUCUUGAAGACAUCACCUUCAGAGCUCUUCGUGUGCUAAACUCCGCAGAUAUCAUACUGUCAGAAGACACAAGGCACUCUGGGAAAUUGCUUCAUUACUACAAUAUCAAAACACCCCUGAUGAGUUAUCACAAGUUCAAUGAAGCACAAAGGGAACAGCUUGUGCUCAGGAGGUUGAAACAAGGUGAGAUUGUGGCACUUAUAAGUGACGCUGGAACGCCGGGUAUCAGUGAUCCUGGUAUGGAGUUGGCCAAAUUAUGUGUUAGUGAAAAUGUUCCCGUUGUUCCAAUCCCAGGGCCCUGUGCUUUGGUAUCAGCUCUUUCUGCCUCGGGGUUAUCCACUGAUGAAUUUACAUUUGUUGGUUUUCUUCCAAAACAUUCGGGAUCAAGAAGUAAAAGGCUCACGGCAUCGGCACAGCAAACAGCAACACAAAUAUUUUAUGUUCCUCCUCACAAGCUUUCUCAAUUUCUUGAAGAGGGUUCGUCAAUUUUUGGUGAUACAAGGAGAUGUGUUAUUGCUCGAGAAAUGACCAAGUUUCAUGAAGAGUUUUGGCGUGGUACUCUUGGUGAAGCCAACAAAGUAUUUUCUAUUCGUCAACCAAAGGGAGAACUUACCAUAUUGAUUGAAGGGCAAGCAAAUUCUAAAGUUGAGCCUCCGUCAGACAUCCAACUUGAGAGUGAACUAAGAGAAUUAAUUGAAAAUGGCGAGAGUCUUUCCACGGCUGUCAAAUUGGUUAUUGGAAAAACGUCAGUGAGUAGAAAAACUAUUUACUCGCUUGCGUUAAGAAAGUUUGGGAAGCAACUUGAAGUGGAAGGCGAUUCAAGUUAGUGGCAGAUUCUUCCUGGAGCCAUUAGAGAUGGAGGAGGCUAAAAGGGAUUUUGCAGUGGGUUUAAACUACUCAACAAUGGAAAUGGAGGGUUUUUUGGUUACAAUGAUGACAGACUAUUGCUGUAUGCGGUGGAUUGAUUGACAUACUAAAACAAUGAUCGGGGAUAACAUGAAAGAUGAUCGAUCGUACACAAAGUGAACCACAUUUGUAGUUAACAUUUUUAUAGUUCUAUUUCAUUUAUUUUAAUGAUUUUCUUUUAUAUCCCUUUUUCAUUCAAAACUCUCCAUAUAAAUUUAUAUAUCAAAAUGUCUUACUUUUUUUGACAGUGGGGAGGUCGCAAGACGGAGAUGUGAUCAUCUGAAAAUAAAAAUAAAAGUAUUUUAGUAUGUAAAUUUCAAUGUUGGGUAUAAUUGAGAGUUUUAAAUGAAAAAAGAAUAUAAAAAAAAUGAGAUAUUUUUCUUUUAUAUUCUUUUUUCAUUCAAAACUCUCAACUAUACACGCAUUAUAGGCCCUUGAAGUUUCAUUAUAAAAAGCUAGCAGGCCGACAGCUGGAAGAAUUGCCGGUAUGUCAGAAGGCAUCAUCAAAUGCAUUGAGCCUUCUUUGUACAUCCUUGAUUUUCAAAUAUAAGAGUUUCUUUCAUUGUGCAAAGACAUACCAUUCCGUUUCAAUAAGAGCCACUAAAUUUUUUUACCCAA